rnacentral:rRNA from 1 species
AUGGAACCUCUGUAUACUGCAUCUGAGCUAUACAUGUACGUCCCCAGUACCUUGGUUGGGAGCUCCCUCUACUGGCUGCUUCGUGGCAAUGGCGACACCAUCGUCGAGUUCGAUAUGGAUAGCCGGACCCUAGCUGUGAUAGAGAUGCCACUAGAUCUGUAUGACCAUGGUAAAUCCAGUUCCUUCAUGAUUAUGCCAGCGCAGGAUGGUGGGCUUGGCUUGAUCCUUGUGAAUGACUUCUAG